rnacentral:lncRNA from 1 species
GGGGCCGGGGCGCGGCUACCGCUCCCUGAGCCACGCCGGUGGUCUCCCGUUCCAUCGGUGGACCCCACCUCGGGCCGUGCUGCGGGCUCUCGGGGCGGCUACCAGGUCGGCUCCAAGGCUACACAAGCAGCAAGAAGAAAAGGAAAAACUCUGUUUUAUUAAAGCUCCAUUUGCCUAUCUACCUUGGUGGAGGGUCAAGAAAAGAUUUAUAACCUAUUUGCAGGUUUUUGGCUCCUGUUUGCAGCAUAGAAACCUCACAGACAAUAGGAAUUCAGACUCAGUGGUGUGGUGGAAGAUAAAAUAAUUUGGGUUAUUUCUGUGAUAACAUAAACAAUCUGGAAACUACUCCCAUUUGUGAGGGUAAAUCUCUAUUAUGAUACAUGGAAAAUAGGACAGAUGCUAAUUCAGGUAAGAAAAGGUCUUUAUACAAAUAUUUACCUUCAGACAGAAACGUUAAUGAAGAUGGAGAAGGAACAGCUACCAAGAAACUAGGGAUAGUAGGACACAAAAAACCUGGUAGUGAGUAUGAACCAGUCUGGUGCCUUGCCUCCAGAGGAGCAGCAACCUAGCAGAGCUACUGGACAACCAGCCCUGCACUUCCCUAGAGCACAGACCAGCUCACUAUGCAGCCACCAAGAGAUAAGCACCCAAGGAGAACCUACCAGCCAUGGAUCCUCAGAAAACAGACCAGCUCAAUGCCCAGCCUUCAGGGGACAAGCAGCUGAGUAGGCAUACCAGCCACACAAACUUCUGCAGCCAAGGCCACUGAGGUACUUGCAGGCACCACUGACAUUAACUAUAGCUAAAGAAGCUGCAUGGAGACUAAACUACUGCAUCCACCAAGAACAAAAACAAAUGUACCUUACCCAAUUAACAUGCUAGGACACAUCUGCAGGUGUAAGUCUUUUCCGAUGAAAGCUACUCUACAACGUUAGAAAAGGUGAUUAUUCCAUCAGAUGCACAGAUGCCAGUGCAGGGAUACAAGAAACAUAAAAAAGCAAGGAAACAUGACACCACCAAAGAAACACAAUAAUUCUCUAGUAACUGACCUCAAUAAAAAAAUAAAAAUGUUUGAAUUGCCUGAAAAGGAAUUCAAGAUAGUGAGCUUAAGGAAACUUGUGAGACAUGAAAGAACACAAACAGAUCAUUCAACAAUCCUGAAAAACAAUUCAUGAUCUGAAUGAGAAAUUCAACAAAGAGAGAGAUAUCAUAAAAAAGAACCAAACAGAAAUCUUGUGGCCAAGGAAUUCAAUGAAGGAAAUAAAAAAUGCAAUUGAGAGCUUCAACAGCAAAAUAGGUCAAACAGAAGAAUUUUUGAACUUGAAAACAGGCCUUUUGAAAUAGUCCAGUCAGAG